UACGUAGGGGGCUAGCGUUGUCCGGAAUCAUUGGGCGUAAAGAGCGUGUAGGCGGCCCGGUAAGUCCGCUGUGAAAGUCGGGGGCUCAACCCUCGAAUGCCGGUGGAUACUGUCGGGCUAGAGUGCGGAAGAGGCGAGUGGAAUUCCUGGUGUAGCGGUGAAAUGCGCAGAUAUCAGGAGGAACACCGGUGGCGAAGGCGGGUCUCUGGGCCGGAACUGACGCUAAGGAGCGAAAGCGUGGGGAGCGAACAGG
rnacentral:rRNA from 1 species